rnacentral:misc_RNA from 1 species
GUAAAACGUACAACUUGACAAUUUACAGAAGAAUGAAUAAAUUGAAACUUAAUCCCCUGUUACAGAUAAGUUGCACCGAAAAGCUCGAGAUGUAAAAUUCAGCUUUUGCGGAGGUCAUGUAUAUAUUUGUCAUAAUAAUACAUAGGCUUGCUCGCUUAUGGAUUUCUGUUGCAGCAGUCACCAUUCUGGAGGGCUUGGUCGUCACUUGCUUGUAGCUGUAUCACCAGAUCUCAACUCCUUUUCAAGCUCAUCAAACUCCCAGUCACCAAUCUCUUCUGAUCUCUUCUGUUGAGUAAUCCCGAGCAUCCUUCCCAAACUCUGACUCCAGCUUUGCUAGUUCAGCUGCAGGAUCAAGCAUCUGAUGUUCCUCAACUGCAGGUGCUUUGGGU